rnacentral:lncRNA from 1 species
AUGAGGUGCUAUACUCCAGAUACAGGUUCCAAAAACCAUGCAAUCCAUUGAGAUAUCAUCAACUAGGGUUUAGGAAAUGGGGAGUGCUAAGAACUGGGUUUAUUUGUGCAUCCCUAAGCAUGAUUUCUCCACAUAAUUUUCCAAAUGAUGUUUAAAAACAUAUCUUCAGGACAAUACUAAUGAUCUUUAGGACAAUACCACUGUAAGUGAACAGAGGAAUUACCUAGUAUGUUAAUAUCUGGAUUAUGUCCAGUUCGUAAAUGCAGCUGUUCAGUUUACUGUUAAUACACGUUUGUGAGAAAAUAUACUCUAAGUUAUGAAGUAGUGACUUAAAGUAAGGUUUAGAAAUAAGAUCCACACUUAUAUCAGUUUGUUUGACAAAUACUAUGUGAAAGUUAUCUUGGAAAGAUUAGCAUCCCUGAAUUUUUUUUGAUCUUGUGUCUAGAGAUUUUGUUAAAUUCAAUUAUUAAUUCUCAUGAUUUUCUUUAAAUUAUUUUGAAUUUUCUACAAAUGCAAUCAUGUCAUCUGUGAAUAUCUAUUGCUGCGCUCUUUUUCCCUUUCAAAUUCUUAUAAAUUACAUUUAUUUUUCUUGACUUAUUGCACUGGCUGUGACCUCUGGUAGAAUGUUUAAUAGAAAUGGUUACAGAAGUCAUGAUUGUCUCUUUGCCAAUCUCUGGAAGAAAGCAUUCAGUGUUUUACCAAUAAGUCUAACAGCUGUUAACCAUGGUGGGUAUUGGAAUUUAUUGAAUGCAUUCUGUGUAUCUAUUGGUUAGUCAUGUGAUUUUUUCUUCCCUUUUUUUGUGUAUAUAGUGUAAUAAAUUGAUUGACUCUCUCAUUUUAAGCUAACCUUACAUCUUUAUAAUAUUGGCUGUGUAUUGUUAUUUUUGUAUACUGCUGGAUUUUGUUUGCUAAUACACAGUGUAGGAUUUUUUUUAUCAAUAUUUAUAGAAGAAUUUGGGCUAUAAUUUUAUAUUUUUCUAAGGUCUUAGGUUUUAAUCAAAAUUAUGCAAAAUUCAUAAAUAAUUGUGCACGAAUUGUUUUCUUCUUUUCAGCUCUCUGGAAGAGUCUGUGAAAGAUUUUGUUAAUGUCUUUAUUAAAUGCUUGGUGAAAUUCAUCAGUG